ACGGAGGGUGCGAGCGUUGUCCGGAAUCACUGGGCGUAAAGGGCGCGUAGGCGGUCUGCUAAGCGUGUGGUGAAAGCUCGGGGCUCAACCCCGAGUCGGCCAUGCGAACUGGUGGACUAGAGCACUGUAGAGGCAGGUGGAAUUCCGGGUGUAGCGGUGGAAUGCGUAGAGAUCCGGAAGAACACCGGUGGCGAAGGCGGCCUGCUGGGCAGUAGCUGACGCUGAGGCGCGAUAGCGUGGGGAGCAAACAGG
rnacentral:rRNA from 1 species